GACGAACGCUGGCGGCGUGCUUAACACAUGCAAGUCGAACGGAAAGGCCCUGCUUUUGUGGGGUGCUCGAGUGGCGAACGGGUGAGUAAAACGUGAGUAACCUGCCCUUGACUUUGGGAUAACUUCAGGAAACUGGGGCUCAUACCGGGUAGGAGCUCCUGCUGCAUGGUGGGGGUUGGAAAGUUUCGGCGGUUGGGGAUGGACUCGCGGCUUAUCAGCUGCUUGGUGGGGUAGUGGCUUACCAAGGCUUUGACGGGUAGCCGGCCUGAGAGGGUGACCGGCGACAUGGGGACUGAGAUACGGCCCAGACUCCUACGGGAGGCAGCAGUGGGGAAUAUUGCACAAUGGGCGGAAGCCUGAUGCAGCAACGCCGCGUGCGGGAUGACGGCCUUCGGGUUGUAAACCGCUUUCGCCGGUGACGAAGCGUGAGUGACGGUAAUUGGUAAAGAAGCACCGGCUAACUACGUG
rnacentral:rRNA from 1 species